CCGGCUGACGAGUGGCGCACGGGUGCGUAACGCGUAUACAAUCUACCUUGUACAGGGGUAUAGCCUUUAGAAAUGAAGAAUAAUCCCCCAUAAUAUCUUAUUAGUGGCAUCGUUAAAAGAUUAAAGCUUCGGUGGUAAGAGAUGAGUAUGCGUUCUAUUAGCUAGUAGGUGAGGUAACGGCUCACCUAGGCGACGAUAGAUAGGGGCCCUGAGAGGGGGAUCCCCCACACUGGUACUGAGACACGGACCAGACUCCUACGGGAGGCAGCAGUGAGGAAUAUUGGACAAUGGGCGCAAGCCUGAUCCAGCCAUGCCGCGUGCAGGAAGACUGCCCUAUGGGUUGUAAACUGCUUUUAUAUAGGAAGAAACCAUUCUACGUGUAGAGUGCUGACGGUACUAUAAGAAUAAGCAUCGGCUAACUCCGUGCCAGCAGCCGCGGUAAUACGGAGGAUGCAAGCGUUAUCCGGAAUCAUUGGGUUUAAAGGGUCCGUAGGUGGAUAGAUAAGUCAGAGGUGAAAUCCUGCAGCUCAUACUGUAGAAUUGCCUUUGAAACUGUU
rnacentral:rRNA from 1 species